rnacentral:rRNA from 1 species
AUGUGGGCUCCUCCCAAAUGCAAGUUCUUUGCUUGGCUAGUUCUCCAGAACCGAGUCUGGACGGCCGAUCGUUUGUCUCGACGGGGAUGGCCCAAUUGCAACAUUUGCCCCCUUUGCAAGCAAGUUCAAGAGUCUGCUGCCCACCUGCUAUUUCAGUGUAGAUUCACGAAUAGAGUUUGGAACGAGAUUACCAUUUGGCUGGGAAUCCAUGACUGCUCACCAAUGAUUUGGUGAAAUGAAGUUUCGGUUCGAACUUGGUGGCAAAAGACGGUGAAUGCGGAUCAUAAGAGAAAGGCUCUUGCCUCUGUUAUGAUUCUUGUCUCAUGGGAGAUAUGGAAAGAACGAAAUGCCAGCAUUUUUCGCAACGCCGCGACUCCGACCACAAUUAUCGUCACGAGAAUUAAAGAGGAGGCCUACCUGUGGACUUUGGUUGGGGCCAAGCAUUUGAGUAGUCUUAUAUUACGAGAGUAG